AAUCACGCUUAGGGGCUAAAGUCAGCCAUGGACCUGGUGGAUAAAGUGGUACUCCUGGGGAGGAUCCCUCCAAGGAACUCCGGGAAAGGAGUUUGAAGAUGGCCUGAGAAUGAGCCAGGCAGAAGGAGAAAGGCUUUCAGACAGAAGCAGUUCAUCAUGGAUUGAAAGGGAUCCCAUCCACUGUGGGAAUAGAGACUACAUCUUCCUCAGUCCUAGCAGAGCACCUCACACAGUAACAUCUACUGAAUGGCAAGAGCUAAUUUCCAGGCCCUGGGGACUUCAAUAUGGAGUUUUCUCCCAAGAUGAAUCUUUGACAUAGAUCCUGAUAAUCUGUCUCGUACAUGGUAGAAGCAAAAAUGACAUGGAUUAAUGCACCCUCUUCCACAGCAAGAUGCCCAUGGCAGGUGACUCUGACACAGGGGCAGGAAGUAGGAAGGGGGAGCUGAAGCAUUGUGUGUAGGAUGGAGACAGGUAAGGGGCAAAAGUUCAUUUGUGGAUAGAGACUAUUGGAAAAGUCCAGGAGGUGAAUCCCAGAAUGGAUUAAGUCAGGUGACAUGUGAAGACAUCAGUGCUGGAGCCCACAAGGGCCAGACAUCAGUUCAUACAGGUGUGCCACAUGGGUCUUCUUAUGGACUGAAGUGUGUAUCCCUAAAAUCCAUAUAGUGAAGUCCUAACCCCCAGUGUGAGCAUAUGUGGAGAUAGGACUUUUAGGGAGGUAAUUAAGGUUAAAUGGGGCCAUCAGGUUGGAGCCCUGAUCCAAUAAAACUAAUGUCCUUAUAGAAAGAGGAGACACCAGAGCUAAUUUUGUGCUCUCUGUCCUCUCUCUCUCUCUGUCAUUGAUUGUAUGCACAGAAGAUGGGCCAUGUGAGUAGUACAGAGCAAGAAGGCAUCUAUCUGCAAACCAGAGAGAGAGCUCUCACCUGGAACCAAAUUUGCUGGCACCUUGAUCUUGAACUUUAGUCAAUUUGGUAUAUUACAACAAACUACCAUGGGCUGGGUGGCUUUUAAACAACAGAAAUGUAUCUCUGGAAGCUGCAAGUCUGAGAUGAGGGAACCAACAAGGUCAGGUGAGGGCCCUCCUCUGGGUUGGUUGCAGACUGCUGAUUUCUCAUUAUAUCCUCAUCUGGUGGAGAGAGAGCUAGCUAGCUCUCUGGUGUCUUCUUAUAUGGGCACAAAUCCUAUACCUGAGGGCUCCACCCUAAUGACCUAAUUACCUCCAAAGGCCUCACAUCAAAUACCAUUACACUGGGAUUAGGCUUUCAACAUAUGAAUGGGGGGGAGGGAGGCACAAACAUUCAGUCUGGGGCAGACUUCUAACCUCCAGAACUGUGAGAAAAUAAAUGUCUGUUGUUUAAGCCACCCAGCCCGUGGUAUUUUGUUAUGGCAGCUGAGAAGACUAAUACAGGUCCCCUGAAGGGCCAGGUCCUGCCCUGUGUAAGUAACACUCUGUGCCACUUCCCAUAGAAGACACCCAAUGUGGUGGCUGCAGAAGACAGCCCCCGACAAACACACAUAUACUAGGUAAAAGAAUGAAUCUGUGACUAUGCUUUUAUCAACCAAGCAAAGCAAAAGAAGAUAUCCUGAAAGCAAGCCUACACAGUUCACCCAUAAGGCCAGAUCUCUCCCUGAGGAAGAACUAUUUAGGGACCUCACAAAGCAGGGCAUUAAAGCAGGGAUUCAAGCAGUUUUGCAACUCAGAAAUACCAAGAUGGUCAGUCAUGCUGUCCCUAAAUGAUCGGCUUCAAAGUGUCUGUCUGGCUUCUUUCUUGUUCUUCACCCAUUUGCUGGCUGACCUGGCUGGUCUGCUCCUAUUUCAAAGUCAACUGUCUUACCCCCAGGACCGUGAGGCUCCCUGGUUCCAUGUAUGUUUCACUUGGCAUAUUUGGGAAAUUCUAGCCACUGUGAAAGAGACAUCUCUGGAUCUCUGGCAGGUCUGAUAAAUGCAUAAACUCCUUCCAGCUUUUUCUUUUUGUGGAAAAAAGUUCUUUAAUAAAAUUAUUGCUUCUACUCCA